AUUGAACGCUGGCGGUAUGCUUUACACAUGCAAGUCGAACGGCAGCACGGACUUCGGUCUGGUGGCGAGUGGCGAACGGGUGAGUAAUGUAUCGGAACGUGCCCAGUAGUGGGGGAUAACUACUCGAAAGAGUGGCUAAUACCGCAUGAGAUCUCUGGAUGAAAGCGGGGGACCGUAAGGCCUCGCGCUACUGGAGCGGCCGAUAUCAGAUUAGGUAGUUGGUGGGGUAAAGGCUCACCAAGCCAACGAUCUGUAGCUGGUCUGAGAGGACGACCAGCCACACUGGAACUGAGACACGGUCCAGACUCCUACGGGAGGCAGCAGUGGGGAAUUUUGGACAAUGGGCGCAAGCCUGAUCCAGCCAUUCCGCGUGCAGGAUGAAGGCCUUCGGGUUGUAAACUGCUUUGUACGGUAACGAACGGACGAGCUCUAAUACAGUUUGCUAAUGACGGUACCCGCACGAAUAAGCACCGGCUAACUACGUAGCCAGCAGCCG
rnacentral:rRNA from 1 species